UACGUAGGGGGCAAGCGUUGUCCGGAUUUAUUGGGCGUAAAGAGCGUGUAGGCGGCUUUACAGGUCCGUUGUGAAAACUCGAGGCUCAACCUCGAGACGCCGGUGGAAACCGUAAGGCUAGAGUCCGGAAGAGGAGAGUGGAAUUCCUGGUGUAGCGGUGGAAUGCGCAGAUAUCAGGAGGAACACCAAUAGCGAAGGCAGCUCGCUGGGACGUUACUGACGCUGAGACGCGAAAGCGUGGGGAGCAAACAGG
rnacentral:rRNA from 1 species